rnacentral:snRNA from 1 species
GUGCUUGCUUCAGUAUCACAUGUACUAAAACUGGAAUGAUACAGAGAAGAUAAGCAUAGCCCCUGCACAAGGGUGCUAUGCAAAUUCAUGAAGCAUUCCAUAAUUUA